UUCCGGUUGAUCCUGCCGGACCCGACUGCUAUAUGGGUGAGAAUAAGCCAUGCGAGUUGAAUGGAAUACCUAAAUUUUCCAUGGCAAACUGCCCAGUAACACAUGAUCAACUUACCCUAUAGAGAAAAAUAACCUCAGGAAACUGAGGAUAAUGUUUCAUAGUUGGAAAGGCUUGGAAAAGUUUUUCAACAAAAGGGAUAAGAAAAAUGGUUUUUAUCCGCUAUAGGAUAGGAUCGAGCUCGAUUAUGGUUGUUGGUGAGGUAAUGGCUCACCAAGCCGAUAAUCGAUAGGGGCCGUGAGAGCGGGAGCCCCGAGAUGGGUACUGAGACAACGACCCAAGCCUUACGAGGCGCAGCAGGCGCGAAACCUCCGCAAUACACGAAAGUGUGACGGGGUUACCCAGAGUGUUCAAUUUUGAACUGUGGUAGGUGAGUAAUGUUCCCUACUAGAAAGGAGAGGGCAAGGCUGGUGCCAGCCGCCGCGGUAAAACCAGCUCUUCAAGUGGUCGGGAUAAUUAUUGGGCUUAAAGUGUCCGUAGCCGGUUUAGUAAGUUCCUGGUAAAAUCGGGUAGCUUAACUAUCUGUAUGCUAGGAAUACUGCUAAACUAGAGGGCGGGAGAGGCCUGAGGUACUACAGGGGUAGGGGUGAAAUCUUAUAAUCCUUGUAGGACCACCAGUGGCGAAGGCGUCAGACUGGAACGUGCCUGACGGUGAGGGACGAAAGCCAGGGGAGCGAACCGGAUUAGAUACCCGGGUAGUCCUGGCCGUAAACGAUGCAUACUAGGUGAUGGCGUGGCCAUGAGCCGUGUCAGUGCCGUAGGGAAACCGUUAAGUGUGCCGCCUGGGAAGUACGGUCGCAAGGCUAAAACUUAAAGGAAUUGGCGGGGGAGCAC
rnacentral:rRNA from 1 species